CGUUAAACUAGCUCUAAACAUUUACUCUUCCGCUUUGUGUGCUGGGAGGCGCGCGGUAUAUAUGCGGACAUGAUCAGCGUCUAAACCGCUAGCAGCUGAGAGCAAUUCAGACCCACGUGAAAUCCCAGCCAAUGACAGAACAGGGAGGAGACAUGACAGAAACAUAAACAAAACACACGUGUCCAGAUGUCAUUACAGUCAACAACGGGAAAGCAGGUGCUAGCGCAUUCGCGCUUAGUGCACGCUGCUUCAAGGGGGAAUCGUGACACUCCACAGGAACCUUCUAGAAGAUUCACAGGGAACAGUAUAGUGUGUUAGCUGCUGAUAUCCAUAGAUGUACAGUAGAGUGUCCUUACAACACACCGUUGACAUAACAUGUGGCAUGCCAGCGGCAUACUGACGGUAUGACCAGCGCCUUGCUUGUUAGAAGUCCAGCCAAACCCCUGAGGAGGCCGAACGCCAGGAAAUAAGAGACACAAGCUGUUGCAUCAGAGAAUGGAAGAUGCCAGAAAGCCAGCAUACACUGCUGUAUGAGGUGUCUUGUCUGGUCUGAAAGACUCCUUCUCUCCCAUAAACAUAAUUUACAUACCAUUAGUGAUCCCACAGAAUAUACUGAUGCAGGUUCAUUAUGCUCAAACCUGGAAAGACUCAAGCCUUGGUUCAUAUUUCAUUUACUGGUGUUGGUUUUACUAGUUGUGGACUGUCAGAAUUUAUUUAUUUAAAGCUGAAAUUUAAUGAGAAUCAUUCUUUGAAAUGAUGAACAAACCUGAUCACAUUAAGAAUUUGUAGGAAUCAACAUGAGGUGAUAACUUCCACAAAAUGCAUAUGCUAAGCAUGAUAAACUCUAAUCUUAAUCAUUCAAGUUGGGUGGGGAAAUUUCAUAUGAAUUGGCAACCAUAAAUAGGGGGUGGAAGCCUGCAUUUUUCUUUUAUAACACAACACCACAAAUACUACAUAUAUCAACUUAUUUGGUUUGGAAAACUAACAUUUUUUAACAUACUAGGAAUAUAUCUUUAGGACCAGUCAGAGUAAAUGAAAAUAAGAAUUACCUGUUGAAAAAAAAAUACUGGAAAAGAACAUAAAAAUGCUUCUGGAAAAAGUUUCAUUUGUGAGUUCAUUCAGGUGAACGUUAAU
ensembl:lncRNA